UCAUCAGCCGCAAUUUCUAAACUCUUUUCUCUCUCCCUACAUCUUUUCUUCUUCUCUGAACCCACACAGCCUUCUCUUCUCCCUAUCUACUCUUCUUCUUCGAUCGGAACCAAGGGCCACCAUAACUUCAAAACCCAACAGAACAAUGGUCACCAUGGCCGACGCUUGGCCACUCUAUUGGCUACCACCUCGGUGGCCACUCUGCACUCGACAACAUCCACUCAUAGAUCCAAUCAACCGGCACCGGCAAUGGUCAUAAUCACUAAGCGCCAUGUCCGAUGCUUGACUACCACCCCGAUGGACUCCAUAAACGAACAAAAACAACCAUUGUAAAGCCCAAAGAUGCUACCUUUACUAACCUUUUUUGACAAAGACCUCAAGAGUCUCACACCCACGGCGACCACCAGAUUCCGGUGGUUAUCUUACUCUCCUAUAAAUACCGAAGCAAUAGUCUAAAUGACUAGUAAAGUCUCCCUUAUCGACGAGAAUCCGAAUAGUUUACUGUCUCCAGGUAGUAAAUUACCACCACCGUGAACCUAGAAAUGAACUUAAUAAAAACAGGGUACCUCCUUACUCGUGUUUUGAUUUUUUUAUUUCAACUCUUUCUCUUCAUCCGUGGAAACCCGAACAUCACAAGCUUCAAUGGUGGCAUGAUUGACGGCCUCAUUCACGCAGAUGAGAGCAGUAGUGAAGCACACAUAUUUUUGGUGACUGGUGGGUCGGAUCUUGUAACUGGAUCUGGAUCCGGGUCUUGGGCUUGAACCAUCUUGUAAUUGGGUUGAUAUUUGUAACUGAGU